rnacentral:tRNA from 1 species
GCAUUGGUGGUUCAGUGGUAGAAUUCUCGCCUGCCACGCGGGAGACCUGGGUCCGAUUCCCGGCCAAUGAA